rnacentral:rRNA from 1 species
GUGAAAGAGGUGCAAGCGUGCGGGGUAAGACGGAUGUUACAAGGUUUUUCCUGAUUUAGUUGGCGUAAAGCGAGCGCAGACGGUUAUUUAAGGCUGAAGUGAAAGCCCUCAGCUCAACUGAGGAAUUGCUUUGGAAACUGGAUGACUUGAGUGCAGUAGAGGAAAGUGGAACUCCAUGUGUAGCGGUGAAAUGCGUAGAUAUAUGGAAGAACACCAGUGGCGAAGGCGGCUUUCUGGACUGUAACUGACGUUGAGGCUCGAAAGUGUGGGUAGCAAACAGGAUUAGAUACCCGUGUAGUC